GCUCCGCCACGUGCCUGUGCCAGAGCCCAACACCUACAAUGGCACCUUCACUAUCUUAAAUUUCCAAGGAAACUAUAUUUCUUACAUUGAUGGAAAGGUAUGGAAGGCAUUCCGUUGGACCGAGAAACUAAUUCUCAGUGAAAAUUAUUUGACUGAAUUACAUAAGGAUUCAUUUGAAGGCCUGCUGUCCCUCCAGUAUUUGUAAAGAUUUAUCCUGCAAUAAAAUACAGUCUAUUGAAAGACAUACAUUUGAAUCACUACCAUUUUUACAGUCUAUAAAUCUUGGUUGCAAUUUACUCACAGAACUGAGCUUUGGAACAUUUCAGGCCUGGCAUGGAAUGCAGUUUUUACACAAUUUGUAAGUGAAAUAGAAAAUGAAUACGUGUAAACAACUAUUUACAUGUGAAAACCUCAUACAAUUAUUGGUUAGCUGGGUAUAAGCCCAUUACGAACUCUGAAAAGUAUGUCUUAAGAUCCAUUCGUUUUUCUCAAAUGGGGAAACUAAAGUACAAAGGCCAAGAGACUUACAUAGCUUAUAUAUGACUUGCUCUGCUUUUCCUAGCUCUGACCUUUGGCAUGGGCAAGAAAAGGCAUCAAACAAAUGACCCUCAAAUUAGCCUUGUUGA